GUCCACGCCGUAAACGUUGGGCGCUAGGUGUGGGGAACCUUCCACGUUCUCCGUGCCGCAGCUAACGCAUUAAGCGCCCCGCCUGGGGAGUACGGCCGCAAGGCUAAAACUCAAAGGAAUUGACGGGGCCCGCACAAGCGGCGGAGCAUGCGGCUUAAUUCGACGCAACGCGAAGAACCUUACCAAGGCUUGACAUAUAGGGAAAUCUCACAGAGAUGUGAGGUCCGCAAGGGCCCUAUACAGGUGGUGCAUGGUUGUCGU
rnacentral:rRNA from 1 species